CGGACCAGAAUCUGUCGGCCAAUCAGCGUUUUUCUGCCAAUGCUAGACGUAUGUCGUCAUUUGUCGACGUGGCUCAUCAUUGGUCAUGACCUUCUGGGAGGGGCGUGAGAGAGGCGGAGAGAGGAAGUUGGAAAACAGAUUUAAACCACUUUUGAACCGCUGCCUCUGUUUGCUUGUGCUCUGAGAGAAAACGUUGUUACCGGAGAGCUUUGGAUGUUAAAACAAACCCUGCAGCUGCUUUUCUGUCCUUGAUGAAGAAGUCUGGAUGCUAAAACAAACACUGGAGCUGCUUUUUGUCGAACACAAGUGAGACUGGACGCUGAACACACCUACAGCGUGAAGGUUUACUGGUUCAGCUGCUGCAGCCUGGACAGAAACACCAGCUCUCACCUGACAAACCAAACAGGUGUCACCACUUCGUCCACGAUCACAGAGAGUCUUUGUACAAUGAAGAAGUUCUGUGAGACCAGGACAGAGGCCUCCAGGUCUUCAGCUGCUGUUGUGGUCUUCCCCUGCAGGGACAAGAACGCGUAUUAAACACUGAUCAGUUUGAUCAGUACCUAAUCACAAUGAUUUAAACUAAACUCAGUCACAGUAAUGACUACAGAUACUUCUGAAACUGUAUAUAAAAUAAGAACAUACUGUAUUUAUGACAUUUUUUGCAUUUUUGAUGUCUUACUAUACUGUGACAUUUUUGAAUUUUUUUGACACCUUACUAUACUGUGACAUUUUUUGAUGGUUUUUGAUGCAUUACUGUACUAUGAAAUUUUUUUACACCUUACUA